GGGGGCAGGAGGCUGGGUGGAGGCUGCUGUCACAGUCCAGCUGGGAAACAGCGGGUGUGUGGGGCGCCCGGCUCAGGGCAGACAGGGUGAAGGGUCCACACCACAGGCUUUGGCUCCCAGGGCGUGCGCAGCACCUUGAAUCCCCAGGCUCAGCACAUCCAUCCUCCUCGGGAGAUGAGGGGCAGCUCCCAAAACAACCAGAGGGGGCUGGUUAUUGUGCCGCGCUGGGGAUCCAGAAGAUGUGGUUUCAUAACUCAGACACACUGCGUGGUGUCUGAAAGUCAUUUCAUUAAAUGUCGAGUGGAAUCAAAAUAGAAAUUACAUCUUUGGGACAAAGCCCGUUGAGCCAGGAGCCAGGCAUUCUGAAUUGGAACCAGAAUAGUCUUCUGGAAGCUGAAACUGUGGAUCCAAGGCAGCCUUGUCUACACAGCCAUCUUCUCUCCUCUGGCUCACAUCUAAUCCCCAGACUUGGCAGGUGGUCCUGGAGCCCAGUCUGCUUGCAGGAGUCAGAGACAGUGGAAGGGAAAUGGUGACAACAGCUCACCGCGGCUCACACUCCUAGCAGGUGCGUGAGAAGGACCCUUUUCUGGAGUCAUGGAGCCCCUCCCCUGCCCCAGGUCAUCAAUUUUCCUUUGAGGACCAUUUUAACUGAAUCCCAUAGGAUCUGGUUUCUACCAUGUUGAAGUUUGAAUGGACAUAUGUUUUCAUUCCUCCUGGGCAAAUAACUCAGAUGCAGGAUGAUGGCUGGUGAUGCAGUAAGUGUGUGUGUUUCACUUUUAAGAAACUGCAAAACUGUUUUCCAAAGUGACUGUCCCUUUUCCAUGCCCAUGAGCCCAUGAGAGCAACGUGAGAGUGCUAGUUGCUUCUGUAGCGGCCGGUCUUUUUAAUUUUAUCCAUCCAAAGUGGGGGUCAGGUGUAUCCCCCUACAUUUCCCUAAUGGGUGAUGACCUUGCACAUCUUUGCUAAUUGUCUAUUCAAAUCCCUUGUCUUAUUAAGUUGUAAGGGUUCCUUCUAUGUUCUAGAUACAAGCCCUUUGUUAGAUGUAUGAUUUGUGAAUAUUUCUCCAGUCUGUGCCUUCCCUUUCUAUUUUCUUCACAGUAUCUUGAAAAAUCAAAGGUUUUUUAAUUUUGGUGAAGUUGAACUUUUUUUUUUUUAUAGUUUGUGUUUUUGUAUCUUGUAUAAGAAAUUCUCUCCGACUCUAAGAUACAAGGAUUUUCUCCUGUGUUUUCUUCUAGAAGCUUGGUGGUUUUAGCUCUUAUCUUUGGGCCCAUGAUCUAUUUUUUAGUUAAUUUUUGUUUGUGAUGUAAGGCAAGGGGCUUGGGUUUGGUUUUUUUUUUGGCAAAUGGUCGUCUUUGAGGUGGUUUCUAAAGGGAGAGAUGGGAUACACUGGCUCUUUUGCUGUGUCCAAGCCGCCAGGCCCUUUGCACUGGGGUUUCUUUAAUGGGCAAGCUUACAUUCUCCAACGGGGUGGAGUCUUGUGAAAAUGGGAAGUUAAAUUACAGAGAAAGAAAUAAGCUAAAUAUCUGGCUUAUCUGAGUGUCGUAUGUUAAAUUGCAACCUGGCCACGUGAGACUUCCUGGGCUGGGUUUUCUUCUCUCUUUGUUCUGCAGAUGGAAGGAACUCAGUCCCUCCGUACAGCCAGCCGGUCAGCUACGAGUCAGCCCGGAGGAGUGAAGCAGACGCGGGCUGGAAUCAGAUGGACUGGAUGUGUCCCCAGCCCAGACCCUUCCUGUCCGGCCUUGCUUUCCUCCAUAAAGCGAGGGUGGAGCAAAAUAUCUGGUUUCCCACCCAACACUGCUGUCGGGUUCUAGAGUUUUCCUCCACUUUUUCUGAUCCUCUCCCCUCUUCUGGUUUUUUUUUUUUUUUUUUCCCCUCCUCUCUUCUAUUUCAGGCCAAAGUGUUUUUGCCUUGAAAGCUCUGAUUUUCAUUUGACGGGCAGCCACCCCAGAGCCAUGGGCCACGAGCCAUCGGGCCUGCCUUGAGUGACACCUGUCCUCUUUUUCCCAGUCUCUCCAGCACAUGAGAUUUCCUCUAGGACACUGCAAAGAUUUUUUCCGGAGCUGGAGUUCCCCAGUUGCUGAGCCAGAGUUACUUGACCCCCACUGUGUCCCCAGAGAGGUGUAAUUAUGCCAUCAAAUUCUCAUUGGCUCUGCUUCAAGGAUAAGGAGGCUGCUGCCCAGAGAGGUUGUUCAACUUGUACAAAGUCACACAGGUCAUCUUCCAAACCAGAUCGUCUGACUCCAAAGUCCCCACCCCACACCGUUCUCCAAGGACUUGGCUCCUCUGGCCAGGGUCUGCCUGAGCCUGUGGGAAGAGCCCUGAAGGCACCCCGAGGAGCCCAUCUAGACCUUAGAAAUAGAGCUGCUCUUAAAACUAAAUUUCAAGUCAGUCUAUUAUGUAACAGAGACGUGCAUAGUCUUCUUAGAGGGCGAACAGCUCCCAGGGACACAAAGGAAGCUGAGUGAAGGCUGCGAGUAGAGAGAUGGGCAUGCUCAGCGGUGUGGCCCUUGGUGGUAGGGGGUCCAGCCGUGUUUUUUCUGGGAUCAGGCACAUCUGAGUCGUCUGGAGGGCUGGGGGACACCCCCCUAAGUCUUUUUGUCUCCUGGGAAGUGCUCACCUACAGAAAGAGAGAACAGAGGUACAACAGCCCACCAGUUCAUCCAUCCAUCCAUUCAGUGACUACUGAGCCUUGACUAUGUGUGAGGGACUGUUCUGGAGUCUGGAGUGCACUGAUAGAAUGUUGGAGGGAGGGGCUGCAAUAGAAGAGAUGUCAAAAGGGAACAGGCAGUGGUCUUGGCAGGAGGUGGAGCCUGAGCUUCAGCAGCUUGAAGGGCCAGGGAAGCACACACCAUUGCAGGCAGCAGGAGAGGAGAGCCAUGCAGGGGCCGGCUCAGGGUGCUGUGCCUGUGCCCCAGGACCCCCAGGCCCUGUGACCCUCUCCAGAGAGAGGACUGGGAAGACUCCAUCUCUGGGAGAAAGUAGUCCAGUCCUUGUCACACCUCAUUUACUCAUUGUCAUUAAAAGCAUGGCUUCUGGUUUAUACAUCAGCCAUAUAAGCCUGGCUAAUGUGAGUCUUCCCUGGAAGCUAAUCUGUGCUCUGGUUCUGGCACAAUAGUGAGCUCUCUGAGUUGGGUCAGCUGAGGAUAAAUGCUGCCUCAGGAGGCUCUUGGGGAACGACCAGCCGGUUUCAGCCACCAAAAACUUACCAAGCAAGAAGUCAUGUUUAGUUGAAGCACAAAGAUCGUGAAGCCUAGUGGUGAGAAGCCAGAUGAAUUCCUAUCACCCCAGGCUUUCCCACCAGGUUUUCCCCAGCUUUGGCAGCCUAAGCCAAGACUGGGGUCAUGCAUGAUGUGAACUGGGAAGAGAUCCAUGUUAUCUCUGCUGUUGUCUGAAAAAGAGUGUGGCUGGGGGCUGGUCCACUCCUUCCUGGAGUAGGAGGCAGUAGGUGUUGGCCCUGCCCUGGACUCACCUGUCUACCUGCUGUCUUCGGGUUUCCUUACUCCAGAGGGUGGUCACUGCAGGCCGGAUUCCCAUAAACUUCAUAUAUUUGAUUCUCAGUCUGCUCUGAAAUGAGAUUCUGGGAUCCAUUGUUUUUGGAGGUUUUGACAGAAUGCACAAGGAGCCAGAUAAAAUUGAAAUAAAAUUGCAAUCACUGAGUUAAUGACUGUGACAAUAAAAAUAAUUCAGAACCAAAUUAAUGCAACAUUAGGGCUCAUCAUUAUACUAAUAAUCUUCACACAGCAAUACAAAAACAACAAUUGUUUGGGGAGGAAUGAUUCAUUCCAUGGGAGAACAGAGUUUUGGGAAAAUCUCAGAAUUUCCUUCUGCAGUCUGAAGAAGGAGAAAGACAAGCUAAGGUUUCCUACUUACUGUGACAAAGAGAUACUCCCUGUGCUUAGGGGGCACCCAGCUCACCAGGCGGGGACAGCCUUAAAUGACUGUAAAGUGAAGUGGCCUUGGGAGGAAGAGGGCCAUAGGGAAGGCUUCCUGGAGGCAGCAGCAUUGAGCAGAGCCUGGAAAGAGGAGUAGCAUCCAUUGGGUCUCAACCCCUCCAUGCCUCCCUCUCCUUUGCAUCCAGCUGCAAUCUGGCUUUUGUCCCUUCCUCACCUCCUAAAUGCUCUUAUCAAGUGACCUUCACAUUGUGAGCAGAUCCAGACACGGGCCCUAGGUCCUCAUCUUCCCUGACUCCCAGCAAGCUUCCACGGCCUCUGGGUUCCCACCAGCAUCACUGAACCCCUUCUCUGUCUCCUCUGCUGGCUCUGCUUCCCUUCUGACCUCUGAACACCUGCAGGCUCCAGGCUGAGCCGUCCCUUCACUCCUCCCUGUCUCCCAGCUCCCUGUCCAUCGCAUCCUGGACACUCACUGUCCACUCUUGACCCUUCUGACCGCCACCCUCAGGCUUCUCAAUGUCUGUGCAACGCCUCCCUGCGGUGUCUAAUACACGUUUUUAAAACCAGAUUUCAUAAUACAGAAAAAUGCACACCUCCUAAGAGCCUAGCUCGAUGCCAUUCCACAAAGUGAAUACACUGGGGCAUCAGCUCCCGGAUCAAGAAAGAGAACGUUGCAGCUAAAGGGAGCCCCUCCUGGCCCCUGUGGCCUCACCACGCCGGCGUGGCCGUGGCCUGACUCUGUCACCUGAGAUAUUCUCCCCUGGCUUGGACUGAACAUGAAUGGAAUCAUAGGAAACCUGCUCUGGUGUCUGGCUUCUUCAGCUCCGUGUCGUGUUUGUGGGACUUGUAGCUGUAGUCCAUCCUUUUUGUUGCUGU